CCUACGGGUGGCAGCAGUGGGGAAUAUUGCGCAAUGGUCGAAAGCCUGACGCAGCGACGCCGCGUGAGGGAUGAAGGUCUUCGGAUUGUUAACCUCUGUCAGCAGGGAAGAACGAUCAGUGUGCUAAUCAGCAGUGAAUUGACGGUAUCUGCAAAGGAAGCACCGGCUAACCCCGUGCCAGCAGCCGCGGUAAUACGGCGGGUGCGAGCGUUAAUCGGAAUUACUGGGCGUAAAGCGCGCGUAGGUGGUAUGUCAGGUCACCGGUGAAAUACCCGCGCUCAACGUCGGAACUGCGUGUGAAACUGGCAACCUGGAGUGUGUGGGAGGGUAGUGGAAUUCCAGGUGUAGGAGUG
rnacentral:rRNA from 1 species